rnacentral:rRNA from 1 species
UACGUAGGGUGCAAGCGUUGUCCGGAUUUAUUGGGCGUAAAGAGCGUGUAGGCGGCCAGGUAGGUCCGUUGUGAAAACUCGAGGCUCAACCUCGAGACGCCGAUGGAAACCCCCUGGCUAGAGUCCGGAAGAGGAGAGUGGAAUUCCUGGUGUAGCGGUGAAAUGCGCAGAUAUCAGGAAGAACACCCGUGGCUAAGGCGGCUCUCUAGUACGGUACUGACGCUGAGACGCGAAAGCGUGGGGAGCGAACGGG